rnacentral:lncRNA from 1 species
UAGAUUCUUCUACCAAUUUGGAGUGGGGGCCGGGGGAUUCAGAAGCAGUACUUGGGAGUGUCUUUCCAUCUAGAAGUACAUUGGUAGGAAGAAGGCUAAGAUUCAGGUCUGGAACAAGAAGCAGGUUGGGAAUAUACCUCUCUGAGAGGAGCCAGUGCAGAGCAUCUUCAAAGUCACACCACUUUCACCCAGGCUCUGCCUGCCUCUGCCUUCAAGUCCAGGGAAUAAUGCCCCAAAGGAAGCAUAGAUAGAAAAUACAUUGAAAAUAAAGUCAGUGUGGGUGACUUGGCCUUGGGUCACAAUCUGUUUGCUUCCAACUUGGCCUAUGAUCCCCUCACACCACCUUCAUCAGUUGGACGGCAGCGCCAUCUUAACCCAGAUUUCUUAAUGACGUAUUUCCUGUUCUGAUCCCACGUGAAGAAAUGACGGUUAUCCUGGAUUGCUUUGCAAGGAGCCAGAAAUGCUACCGUCUGACCACAGAGUUCACUAUUGGGACAGCACAAAUAAAGCCCGGUGCUGGGACAUGGUUGACUCGCAGAGGGUGUUGUUUAUGAGAGCGCUGUAAGCAGUGAUCAGAGGAUGACAGGAGAGAGUUAUAAAAAGAACUAUGUGUAGUCAUUUGGGGUGGAGAGAUGAGAAAAAUCUAACUGUGGAGCCCCUACAGAACAUAACUCAUCUUCAAAUACACGAAGAUGCUUCAACAAGUUGAAGCUUUAAAGUCAAAGGAAAACCAAACACAGACUGAUACAGCCCUGAGGAGGAAGACGGGAAGACUUGUGCUUUUUUAUUCUGUGCCUGGAAUAGCCUCAGAAAUGAGUGCCACCCUGCUCUGCCUGAGCUAAGCCACAAGGAUGUGCCUCACAGGAUCUGGGGUGAGAGGCACAAGCCAGCUCUCAGCAGAAGAAAUCUCAUUCUGAAGCCUGGGAGGCUGCGGCUGAUGAGAGAGCUGGCUUUCAAGAAAGCCAGUUACCUGGGACCACUGCUGCUUCCGUGGUACCCCAUGAGGGGAGCUACCAUGCUGUGUCCCAGGGAGAGAGCUUGGCUAAAGACACAGAGGUUUCACAUGAGCCAGAGACCAUCAUGUAUAUCCUUUAUGGACCCUGUCAAGCCCCCUGCAUAGAAGAAGUGCUCAAGAAUUCAAUUUCUACUUGAAACAGUGCUGCUGUAAGUGCAAUAACUAUGUCUUGCCCCCAUGUUACACACAUUCAAGUAUCCACCAACAAAAUGC